UACAAGAAACGCUCUGCACUUCAUGGAAUGAUUACACUAGAAAUCUCUCCAGAUACUUACACAUAUCCUCACAAGUGGUUACUGUUUGUAUUUAUGCCUGGUAAGUACCCAGGAGUGAUGGUCUCUGUGGUAUAUUUCUCUGACACUGCAUGCCCCAUUUGCAGGUACACAUGACUAGAAUGAACUUGCUAACAAACACAAGGAAGAAAUGACGACUUUGUCAUUAUUUAUUGUCGCCUUUCUCCUUCUAGGAUUCUCUUGCUCUUCACAGAGUGAGAGUUGUGUCGGUAACGUCAGUUUGUCGGUGUCUGUCAGCAGAAACUCGACUCUACUGGUUGACUGGAACAGCGGGAGCAAACAGACGACCCAAUGUGCACUGCUCGUAUCAACCGAAGGGAGACAAGAAAUUCAGAUACACCUUUUGCCAAGGUCUGGAUCUCUCGUAUUGGAAAACAUGACAGACAAUUUUAAACACUCCUUCUUAUGCACGUGUUUUGAACAGUCUCUGGGACUCUUGUGCUCCAAGAACAUAAGCUUUGUUAUGGGUAUUUAUUGAUUUAUUUAUUAUGACUAAAUUACAUUUUAAAAACAUUGAUCUGCGCAUAUUGUACAUGCGUAUUUGAAUGAUGAUAAAAAUAUAUUCUGAUUUUAAAAAAUAGAAAUGCAUGGUACUUUUUGGCCAAAUAUUAUAAU